rnacentral:sRNA from 1 species
UUACCAUUUGAAUGGUUGCUUACUAGCCUAACUUUUUGUUUACAAAUGUGCAAAGAAGUUUUUUUUUUUUCUUCGCUUGUAGACUGUACUCUUAUUCUGAAGACUAGAUUUUGAAGAUUCUAUGGUGAUUUCAGUUUUGGAAAUCUUUUGGUGAAUGAAGAUAAUAAAUAUUUGAUAAGUUUGGUUCACGAAGAAGGGAAAGAUCGACAUGGCGUCAUACUUGGUGCGUCUUGACACUGAAGAGGUUAGUUACAGAUUUAUCAAUGCAUUUCUUCCUCAUGAGAAAUGCAAUGAUUUAGAUUUGUGACGACCAAAAAAAAUAUAUUCGCUUGGGCAUUGGUGUGAACGGAAUCCAACAGAAAAGGCUCUGAUUGGUGGAAUUGGUGGUCUCUCAACAAAACUAAAACCAAAAUUAUUUGCAUCUUUAUCCACUUCUUCACGGUUCACAUCUCUCGUCUUUAUCUGCUUAUUUUAUCUUGUUUCUUUUUCCUCGUUUUAAAACAAGUUUAGCAUGUUAUCAGAUUCAGUUUUACUUUUCUCAACUUUAAUUAUGAUUCGUUUUUG